GAAGCGUCUGGAAAGGCGCGCGAUACAGGGUGACAGCCCCGUACACAAAAAUGCACAUACUGUGAGCUCGAUGAGUAGGGCGGGACACGUGGUAUCCUGUCUGAAUAUGGGGGGACCAUCCUCCAAGGCUAAAUACUCCUGACUGACCGAUAGUGAACCAGUACCGUGAGGGAAAGGCGAAAAGAACCCCGGCGAGGGGAGUGAAAAAGAACCUGAAACCGUGUACGUACAAGCAGUGGGAGCACGCUUCGGCGUGUGACUGCGUACCUUUUGUAUAAUGGGUCAGCGACUUAUAUUCUGUAGCAAGGUUAACCGAAUAGGGGAGCCGAAGGGAAACCGAGUCUUAACUGGGCGUUAAGUUGCAGGGUAUAGACCCGAAACCCGGUGAUCUAGCCAUGGGCAGGUUGAAGGUUGGGUAACACUAACUGGAGGACCGAACCGACUAAUGUUGAAAAAUUAGCGGAUGACUUGUGGCUGGGGGUGAAAGGCCAAUCAAACCGGGAGAUAGCUGGUUCUCCCCGAAAGCU
rnacentral:rRNA from 1 species